UUUAAAGCCUAUAUUAUUCUAUUUAAAACAUGAUUGUGAUUUUAUUGAACUCAAGUUUACUUGUCUGUGUUUUCUUUAAAAUAGGUUUUAGAACAGUCAUUGCUAGGUACUCAAUCCAAUUUGGCACCAUCAUCACGAUCUUACUCUAUCGCCUCGAAGGAGAUACUGCCACUUGAAAGAAGAUCAAACAGCUCACAAAAUGUUGAUUCCCAUGGUUAUCUAAGAUUUCCAUGGUUUCUUUGAAUUUCAUGUGUUUACAGGAUUUCCAGUUGGUUCAAGUCCUGUAAGGU